rnacentral:tRNA from 2 species
GGAGAGAUGGCUGAGUGGUUGAUAGCUCCGGUCUUGAAAAUCGGUAUAGUUCUUUGAGGCGAACUAUCGAG